GUAGGAGCCAGCUGUGGUUUACAGAAGAGAGAAUACUGUUGGGAAGAAACAAGCUUGUCUCUGCGUGAUGCUGGCAGGAAAGGGAGACAGUCAGACUCCAAGGGAUGAACGCCAGUGACCAGGCAAGAAGCCAGGCUAUUGAGCAGCAUGGUUGUCACGUGUCUCACGUCACAGCACAGCUCAGCCUGAAGGAGCAUCUGCUUACCUGUGAGAUCUCACCGGAGUAACCAGAGGAAACAGAGGCAACCCACUACUGGAAUUUGCAAAGAGAGAAGCAGCCAAGCACGAACGCAAACUGGAGAGCUGAAAAGCAAUUGCAGACAAGCUAGCUUAUGACUUCCGGUGCAUUUCAGAAGAAAAGAGCCUUUU
rnacentral:lncRNA from 1 species